rnacentral:lncRNA from 1 species
CAAAAUUACACUGUAAAUAAAAUUAUUGUGGACACUGACAAUUAAAUAUUGACUCAACAAAUGAAUUCACAAUAAUAAGCCCCAAACGAAAAAAAAAAUCCACAUUAUUAAUUUUAGCUGUUGGUCUGAAGUAAAAAUAAAAAAUAUUCAUUCAUCAAACAUAAAACUGUGCUUUGGCAAUUUAUCAAAGAGCAGUGAAAAUUGUGUUUGUGUUUGGCGAACAAACCUUGCAGCAAAAGCGCGUGUACGCAUGCGCGUGAGAGUCGUUUGUUGGAUCAGGUUUAAAUUCCAGCGCAGCAAUCGCAGAGCUCCUCCGAAACAUCAUAUUCAGGCGAUUUUCCUUCAUCAAAGUUAUGGGCCAUUGGAAAACCACACAGCUACAAUGAAGAUGGGAAUCCUUGAAACAGUUAGCAUCAGGAGCAUGAUGAAGUUUAAGAGCCCUGUCAACUGUGCUGAAUGUCUGCUGUCCUGGAAGAGGAGAUGGUGCUCGACAAUAGGACGCUUUAUCAAUGCAUCGUUUGUGCUUUUGGAUUAUAGUAUCUACUCAACCUGGAAUACAAUGACUAAAUAGGUUUACAUGGUAAAUAUUUGAAAACAGAUGCAGCUUUAUGUGCUUGAAGUUCCUCUUGAAGAUUUUGUUUUACUUUUCUUGAAAUUUUUGUGAGUUUUUUUUCUGUUCUGGAAUCAUCUGUCAACUGGGUAAAGUAACCCAUUGUUUAGAUUUGAUAGUGCUUUUGACGAUUUUAAUAUUCAUUUAUUAAUUUUCCUUCAGCUUAGUCCCCUGUUUAUCAGGGGGAGCCACAGCGGAAUGAACCGUUCAUUGAUUAUAUGCAAAUAUAUUAGAUGUUUAAUGUUAAUGAAUGGGUUUAACCAUUAAAAAUGUAAUUUCAUAAGUUCAGAUUAUCUUUUGUAGAAUGAAAGUAUUCAGGUGACAACACUAAACAAUGGUUAAAGUAACCUCACAAAAAUACUCAAAUGUUAUGCUGUUUUUUUUUACAUUUUUGCAGAUAUUUGGGAUAUAUAUUAAGUACACUUCAGCUCUAUGUAUUAACCUUAUUCCUCACGUACGAGCAGGCGCAGCCAUUUGAAUCUUUUUGGCUGGAGAUUUCCGCUCUCAUUCACUUCCUUUGAUUUUUAGACGUUAAAAACUGUUUGUUUUGAUGCUUGAUGUUGCAAUCUGAUAUUUUCUUAAUAUAUUAUUCUGCUUUGUCUGUAGAGUCAUAAACACACUAGUUUGUAGAGCAAGUAGUUUGUCUGUUUUCCGCUGUUUAAUAUUCCUAGUCAUUUCUCCCAUAGGGCACUGAAUCAAAUGUUCUAAAACAAAUAGGAAAAACUUCCGCCUUAAAGAAUGAGGUCAAUAUUAGGAGAAAUAAAAUGCUAGAAUUUAUACGGUAUACUUUGUUGAAAUGUGUAAUGUAUUUGUUAUUCUAAAGUACUUUUACAAUAGUGUCUCUUUAAUAAAAAUAAAUAAAUAAAUGUGGCAGUGUUUAGUGUAUUAUGAUUUUGUUUAUUCUAUUAUUCAUUUUCUUUUGGGACAACGAGGAAUAAACAAUUCAGUAAAAUUGCUUUAGCAUUG